rnacentral:rRNA from 1 species
UCCCUGAGAGAUGAUCAGGUAGAUAGGUCAGRAGUGGAAGUACAGUGAUGUAUGGAGCGGACUGAUACUAAUCGAUCGAGGACUUAACCAAU